GUCAAAAUUCAAACCACGGGUAGGCACUUAAAAUUAGAGGUACUUGUCAAGGCUUAAGUAUUACAUGCAUAAUAAAACUUAUCCAGAAGGCUCCAUUGCAGAAGGGUAUAUAGCAGAGGAAUGCUUAACAUUUUGUUCACACUAUUUUAAAUCUGUUGAAACUGCAUUCAAUCGGCCUAUAAGGAAUGUUGAGGAAUCCAUGGGUGCGGUGAUGAGCAUUACACUAGAUUCAAAUUCAUGGAUCCAAGCAUAUCGUUAUGUGCUAUUCAAUUGUGAAGAAAUCACCCCAUUUCGCGAACUUUGACAGUUGAAAUGGCAAGGCGAAAGGCAAAUUUGCGCACACGUCCCAAGAGUGUAACAUUGGAAAGAGCUUCUUCACAAGAUGCGAAUGAAGUGGGGGACCAAGAAACGCAUGAAGCUUCUACACAAGGAUCAGAUGUGCAACCAGCUAUACGUGUCACUCGCGGGCCAAAUAAG